UGGGGAAUUUUGCGCAAUGGGGGAAACCCUGACGCAGCAACGCCGCGUGGGUGAUGAAGGCCUUCGGGUCGUAAAGCUCUGUCUGGAGGGAAGAAAUGAUUGGGAGCUAAUACCUCUUGAUCUUGACGGUACCUCUGAAGGAAGCACCGGCUAACUCCGUGCCAGCAGCCGCGGUAAUACGGAGGGUGCAAGCGUUGUUCGGAAUUAUUGGGCGUAAAGCGCGUGUAGGCGGUCUUUUAAGUCUGAUGUGAAAGCCCCGGGCUCAACCUGGGAAGUGCAUUUGAAACUGGGAGGCUUGAGUACGGGAGAGGAGAGUGGAAUUCCUAGUGUAGGAGUGAAAUCCGUAGAUAUUAGGAGGAACACCGGUGGCGAAGGCGGCUCUCUGGACCGAUACUGACGCUGAGACGCGAAAGCGUGGGUAGCAAACA
rnacentral:rRNA from 1 species